GUUUUAUAGUUUAGCGAUCUAUUUAUUGAUUUUUACAAGUUUGUGCUUUCAAACGCUAUAUAAAGUACACAAAAUAUUCCACCCUCGAAAUAAAAGACUCAAAGCCCAGAAUCAAAGCAUAAAAAUGAGUUGUGUGUGAAUUCAAUUCAAUAGAUUCUUCAUUUGUGAAGUACACCGUGGAGCCAUAGAAUUUGGGGGGCGAACUCACUUUGCUCAAGUUUCAGUAGAAUGCGGAAUCUUGGGUACAAGGAUACCAAUCAGAAAAACCUGGGAAGGCUACCAUAGAAUGCCUCACAAAGAUUCAAGCUUUGACUCAUUUUUGGGGUUAUAAUAUGUAUUUAUUUCAAAGAGAGCCUUUAUGAGGUAUAGUCUACUGCAGAAGAAGUGUAAUAACAUGUUUCUUCAUUAUUCUAGUAUGAGUGAUAUAACGGUCGCUAUUCUAGUUUUUUAGCACUACUGUUUCUCAUUUUUUUUUUUUGGGGUACUAUAGUAGUUUUAUUGUUGCUUCUCUCUAUAUUUGUUUUGAGUUCAAAUAUUGCUCUGCUGUGCUGUGCUCUCAUUUGCCUACAUGGUGCAGUCAAUGCUCUUCAAGAUCUAUACAGGUCCUUGAACGACCCACCAAUGCUGAAAGGGUGGAGAGUCAUGAACAGGAGUGUCAUGUUCUGAUUCAUCUGUUAUACACCUUAAAAUUCAAGGACUAAACCUCACUGGGUGGAUUGGAGGCCAACUUAAUAACCUGCAUCAUUUGAAGCACCUGUAACUGAAACUGCCUUGUUAUAUUUAGCUCUUGUUGAAAUAGUACCUGUACUGUUUAUUUAAUUCUUUAUUCUGGUUUCUUCUUUAGGGAAGUCAGCUUCAAUAACAUUCAGGGUGAAACUGUUUAGUAACAGGAAGGGCAACUUUUAUUUGUUUAUAUAGUAACAUUCUGGUUUCUUCUUUAUUCUAUCUUAGGCGUUAUAUUUGUUUAUAUAGUAACAGGAAGGGCAACUGUUUCUUCUUUCCAGGUUAAACCAUCAAAUUGGUCUUCUUUCUUGUAGUAGUUCAUUUGAAGAGUUCAUUGCGCAAUUUAAGUUUUAAGCAUUGGGCUGUUAAAAAACUAGAUAUGCUACGCCAUUUACUAUUUACACAAAAGAGGAAUUGGGUAUUGAUAAGUCUGAUGCUGGAAAUACCCAGUUAUGUCCAUUUGAUUGUUCUUGUUGUUUUUGAGGAUACAUGCAAAAAUCUGUUGGGUGUAGUUGCUUCCUUUGAUCCAGUGAAUCAGAUUUUCAUGUAGUCUUGUAACUUUUCAUUUUCUGUUUUGUUGUUAUAAUUUGAGGGUAUUGGAGCACAGCUUUCUUUUGCCUUGUACACUAGAACUAGAUUACAUUAUUAUUUUUAUCUAAUUCAAUCAAUUUUGUGCUUAUGAUUAACCAUGUUUCUC